rnacentral:rRNA from 1 species
UACGUAGGGUGCGAGCGUUAAUCGGAAUUACUGGGCGUAAAGCGUGCGCAGGCGGUUUUGUAAGCCAGGUGUGAAAUCCCCGGGCUCAACCUGGGAAUGGCAAUGGAUACUGGCAAGCUAGAGUGUGUCAGAGGAUGGUGGAAUUCCCGGUGUAGCGGUGAAAUGCGUAGAGAUCGGGAGGAACAUCAGUGGCGAAGGCGGCCAUCUGGGACAACACUGACGCUGAGGCACGAAAGCGUGGGGAGCAAACAGG